GAUGAACGCUGGCGGCGUGCCUAAUACAUGCAAGUCGAGCGAACAGACGAGGAGCUUGCUCCUCUGACGUUAGCGGCGGACGGGUGAGUAACACGUGGAUAACCUACCUAUAAGACUGGGAUAACUUCGGGAAACCGGAGCUAAUACCGGAUAAUAUAUUUAACCGCAUGGUUCAAUAGUGAAAUACGGUUUUGCUGUCACUUAUAGAUGGAUCCGCGCCGCAUUAGCUAGUUGGUAAGGUAACGGCUUACCAAGGCAACGAUGCGUAGCCGACCUGAGAGGGUGAUCGGCCACACUGGAACUGAGACACGGUCCAGACUCCUAAGGGAGGCAGCAGUAGGGAAUCUUCCGCAAUGGGCGAAAGCCUGACGGAGCAACGCCGCGUGAGUGAUGAAGGUCUUCGGAUCGUAAAACUCUGUUAUUAGGGAAGAACAAAUGUGUAAGUAACUAUGCACGUCUUGACGGUACCUAAUCAGAAAGCCACGGCUAACUACGUG
rnacentral:rRNA from 1 species